AGCGAACGCUGGCGGCAGGCCUAACACAUGCAAGUCGAACGAACCUUUCGGGGUUAGUGGCGGACGGGUGAGUAACACGUGGGAACGUGCCUUUAGGUUCGGAAUAACUCAGGGAAACUUGUGCUAAUACCGAAUGUGCCCUUCGGGGGAAAGAUUUAUCGCCUUUAGAGCGGCCCGCGUCUGAUUAGCUAGUUGGUUGAGGUAAUGGCUCACCAAGGCUACGAUCAGUAGCUGGUCUGAGAGGAUGAUCAGCCACAUUGGGACUGGGACACGGCCCAAACUCCUACGGGAGGCAGCAGUGGGGAAUCUUGCGAAAUGGGCGAAAGCCUGACGCAGCCAUGCCGCGUGAAUGAUGAAGGUCUUAGGAUUGUAAAAUUCUUUCACCGGGGACGAUAAUGACGGUACCCGGAGAAGAAGCCCCGGCUAACUUCGUG
rnacentral:rRNA from 1 species